rnacentral:rRNA from 1 species
UACGUAGGGGGGCAAGCGUUGUUCGGAAUUACUGGGCGUAAAGGGCUCGUAGGCGGCCAACUAAGUCGGACGUGAAAUCCCCAGGCUCAACCUGGGAACUGCGUCCGAUACUGGAUGGCUUGAAUUCGGGAGAGGGAUGCAGAAUUCCAGGUGUAGCGGUGAAAUGCGUAGAUAUCUGGAGGAAUACCGGUGGCGAAGGCGGCAUCCUGGACCGACAUUGACGCUGAUGAGCGAAAGCUAGGGGAGCAAACGGG